UACAGAGGAUGCAAGCGUUAUCCGGAAUGAUUGGGCGUAAAGCGUCUGUAGGUGGCUUUUUAAGUCCGCCGUCAAAUCCCAGGGCUCAACUCUGGACAGGCGGCGGAAACUACCAAGCUGGAGUACGGUAGGGGCAGAGGGAAUUUCCGGUGGAGCGGUGAAAUGCGUAGAUAUCUGGAGGAACACCGGUGGCGAAGGCGGCAUCCUGGACCGGCAUUGACGCUGAGGCGCGAAAGCCAGGGGAGCAAACGGG
rnacentral:rRNA from 1 species